AACGCUGGCGGCGUGCUUAACACAUGCAAGUCGAACGGAAAGGCCCUGCUUUUGUGGGGUGCUCGAGUGGCGAACGGGUGAGUAACACGUGAGUAACCUGCCCUUGACUUUGGGAUAACUUCAGGAAACUGGGGCUAAUACCGGAUAGGAGCUCCUGCUGCAUGGUGGGGGUUGGAAAGUUUCGGCGGUUGGGGAUGGACUCGCGGCUUAUCAGCUUGUUGGUGGGGUAGUGGCUUACCAAGGCUUUGACGGGUAGCCGGCCUGAGAGGGUGACCGGCCACAUUGGGACUGAGAUACGGCCCAGACUCCUACGGGAGGCAGCAGUGGGGAAUAUUGCACAAUGGGCGGAAGCCUGAUGCAGCAACGCCGCGUGCGGGAUGACGGCCUUCGGGUUGUAAACCGCUUUCGCCUGUGACGAAGCGUGAGUGACGGUAAUGGGUAAAGAAGCACCGGCUAACUACGUGCCAGCAGCCGCGGUGAUACGUAGGGUGCGAGCGUUGUCCGGAUUUAUUGGGCGUAAAGGGCUCGUAGGCGGUUGAUCGCGUCGGAAGUGUAAUCUUGGGGCUUAACCCUGAGCGUGCUUUCGAUACGGGUUGACUUGAGGAAGGUAGGGGAGAAUGGAAUUCCUGGUGGAGCGGGUGGAAUGCGCAGAUAUCAGGAGGAACACCAGUGGCGAAGGCGGUUCUCUGGGCCUUUCCUGACGCUGAGGAGCGAAAGCGUGGGGA
rnacentral:rRNA from 1 species